rnacentral:lncRNA from 1 species
AGUUUCCUCAUCUAGAAAGUGGGACUAAUAAUAGCAAGGUUUAUUGUCAAGAUUAAAUGAAGUCAUGCAAGCAAAACAAUAUAAUAACUAUUGUGCUUCAAACAAACUCUGUAGGUCACUUGAGUGCUUUAGAAAAUAUAACCUGGCCAGGUGUGGUGUUGAUCCUAGGACUUUAUAGGCUGGCCUACUUCCAGCACCUCUCACCCCUUUCCUUUCAUUCUUCCGGCAUGCACGGUGCCCUCCUUGCACUUGGGAGGUACUGAGCUGCUAAACUUCCAUGA